AGUGAACGCUGGCGGCGUGCUUAACACAUGCAAGUCGAACGAGAACGGGAUAUAGCUUGCUAUAUUUGUCAGCUAAGUGGCGCACGGGUGAGUAAUGUAUAGAUAACCUGCCCUCUAGAAAGGAAUAACAGUUGGAGACGACUGCUAAUGCCCUAUAUGCCUUUAAUACAUAAGUAUGCAAGGGAAACGCUUUAGUGCCAGAGGAUGGGUCUGUAUGGUAUCAGCUUGUUGGUGAGGUAAUGGCUCACCAAGGCUAUGACGCCUAACUGGUUUGAGAGGAUGAUCAGUCACACUGGAACUGAGACACGGUCCAGACUCCUACGGGAGGCAGCAGUGGGGAAUAUUGCACAAUGGACGAAAGUCUGAUGCAGCAACGCCGCGUGGAGGAUGACACAUUUCGGUGCGUAAACUCCUUUUAUAUAGGAAGAUAAUGACGGUACUAUAUGAAUAAGCACCGGCUAACUCCGUGCCAGCCGCCGCCGUAA
rnacentral:rRNA from 1 species